AGAGAGACGGCAGCCUCCAACAAGUGGAGCUUUGACCCUGCCUUCGCGAGAGUCAGUCGGGACCCCGGACGCUCAGGCUUCCCAGUCCCUGCGCGCUCCUAUGGGGGCCCCGGCGCCCGCGUUCUGCCUGCUGCUCGCUUGCGUCUGGCUGCCUCCGGGCGAGCCGGUCGGGGAGCCCGUGCCGGUGCAGUCUCUCGCUGCAGCACCCACACCUCGGGGCAAUGCCGAGCUGCAGCCUGAGCCAGCCCAGGAUCCCAGGUGAGUAGGCGAGAGCUUGUGACUGCCCCACCCACUGGUUCCAUCUUUAUUCCUGGUGUGGGUGACCCCCAGGGGUUAUCAUUGAGGGUGGGAAGGGCCUGAGGGUGGUGAGGAGGUAUGGCCCAUUCCUGUCCCCUUGCUCAUGCCAGGCUUGUUUCUCAUCUAGCCACAGCCAUCAGGAGGCGAUCCCUGCCAUAGGGGAUGCCACAACAGUGAUGGGACGCCAGGUAAGGGGAGGCCUGGGGAAGGGGGGCUUCACUGGGCAAGGGCUUACUUCUGUCUGGAUCUGACGCUGGCAGGGAGCUCUGGUGGUUGCAGAAAGUUCUGCAGUUAUUCAGAAGGGAGCAAAUAAGAUUCCUAGUAUGUGUCUGAAAUUAUGAUACAUCUUAGAAGAUAAGAAUUUAUAAGAUACAUCUUCUCUCUUUUUCCUAAUCUCUUGUGGCCCUGUAAUCCGCUUAUUUAUUUAUCUAUUUAAAAAUUAUGUUUUGGUGUUCCCGCUGUGGUUCAGCGGUAACAAAUCCAACUAGUAUCCACGAGGACAUGGGUUCAAUCCCUGACCUGGCUCAGGGGGUUAAAGGAUCCGGCGUUGCUGUGACUGUGGCCUAGGCCAGUGGCUACAGCUCCAGUUUGACCCCUAGCUUGGGAACUUACAUAUGCCGAGGGUGCAGCCCUAAAAAAAAAAAAGACUUUUUUUUUUUUUUUUUUUUUAGGGGAAGAGGGCACAAAGGUGUGGCCAGGAAACAGCUGAGCUCUUUCCUCCCCUGGGUGAAAGAUGGAAGGGGAAAGUGUAGGAGAAUGUAGUUCUCUCCUCCCUGCCUGUCCUAAACCCUGCUAGAGGCUCCUCUUCAUCCCCUGAGCAGUGCCUUAGUAAUUCUGCCCAGAGACGACAGACAAAAACUGGGCUACCUAGUGGGGUUUGCAAGAAAGGGCUGGCUGAGAAGCAGAGCACUCAGCUACCAUUCUGAGUCUUGCCUGUUACCUGUUGCC
rnacentral:lncRNA from 1 species